CAUACGAUCAGAACAGAGCCAUCUGAGGGCGAGGGAGGUUCUAUUUCUGAUAGCUUGAACCCUAACAUGAUGCAGAGACGCUGAAAGGGACAUUCAAAGAGGGGAAGUGACCUACUCAGCACUUGCAGAAAGACCAGGAUGCAGGUGGCUGGUACCCUGACUCUAGCCCAUCCUCCACCCCGGCUCAGAGAGAACAUUCUAAAGCACAAACCUGGCCACCUCGCCACAUGCUUUAAAAUCCUCUCAUGGAUCUACAUUUCCUGAAGAUAAAAUCCCAGUGUCUAGACCUGACAUCUAAGACCUUUUGUUACCAGAUCCCUGCUCACUCCUUCAACCUUAUCUACAGCUGCUCCGCAAGACACAACCUGCAUUCUAUUCAAACAGGCGGCAGCCACCCACAGGCCCGUCUCCAUUCCUCCCCACCUUUAACCAGGCUCUUCCCUCGACUGAACGGCCCCGUCCUUGAUUAUCUCUCUCAUUCUUCAGCUCAGCUCUGGCCUCCCAGGCCCACCCCCUCCCGUCUGGUCAGCCCAGAUGGGGCGCCUCCUCUGGUCCUCCACACCCUCUGGCGUCACUUAUCACCUGGUGUCAGGAGUCUUUCUUGGCUUUGGAGUUUUUUAAGACGAGAUUCUCAGGAGAUUGGAAAGAUCUCAUGGCUUAGUUAAAAACAUUUGGAGGGAGAGAUGAGCAGAGCAAGGCACUCCCCACUCUCCUGUUGGCCAGAAAAAUGUCCCCCGGGCUGUACAGAAAAUGACUGGGAAGAGGAGGAAUGAGAAAGUCGCUGUCCUGGCUAAAGAGGCUUGCAUGCUCUGCUCCCAGGGCCUGGUGUUGGGACAAAGACAAAUUUCCCAGAGGGACAAUCUGUGGGAUCUCCGAGCAGAAGGGAAGGAGGACCCCAGGGAGGAAGGAAAGCCCCAGAGAGCAGAAGUGUCCACAUGGCAUGUAGGCGAUUGGGAACUUAGACGUCUCAGAGUUUCCCACAAUCCUGUGAGGCAUAAGAAGUAAUACAAUGACUCCUGUGAACCCCAUAAUGUCACAGAGGUAACAGAGUCACCUGAUCUGAGACAGGGCACAAACAUGGUGACCUGCAUGGACCAAUGGCUAAAAGAUAAAUGCCACUGAAACUGACAUUGAUGACCGGUGGCCUCCCUCCCAUCACCUUUGCACACCAAGCAUAGAUGUGAUUGCUGGGGAAUGGAGAGGAUGGAUUGACUGUGAUUCAGUUGUGAUCCAACCCGGCAAAAUGGAGGCUCAAAAUAGAAACUGAACUUAGUUCGGUAUAAUAAAGAAAUACAUAUUUUCUAUUUAUCCCACACCUGAGUUUGUAGACUGA